AGCAAGUGGCAGAUUGGCUGAUGGAUGCUGUCAUAAUAAGGGACUCGACACUGGUUCAGAUAAGAGCAAACACACGCAAAACUUAUCGUGGGAUAAAUCGCCUCAUUGACGACUUAUCCGAAGCGGAUCGAUUGCACACACA